AGCGUUAAUUGAAGUUGUUCAACG
rnacentral:miRNA from 1 species